UCCUACGGGGGGCAGCAGUGGGGAAUAUUGCACAAUGGGGGAAACCCUGAUGCAGCAACGCCGCGUGAGUGAAGAAGUAUUUCGGUAUGUAAAGCUCUAUCAGCAGGGAAGAGAAUGACGGUACCUGACUAAGAAGCCCCGGCUAACUACGUGCCAGCAGCCGCGGUAAUACGUAGGGGGCAAGCGUUAUCCGGAUUUACUGGGUGUAAAGGGAGCGUAGACGGCGCUGCAAGUCCGGAGUGAAAGUCCAUGGCUUAACCAUGGUACUGCUCUGGAAACUGUGGAGCUUGAGUGCGGGAGGGGCG
rnacentral:rRNA from 1 species